GCAGGUAUGGUUUAAUGGUAGAACGCCAGCUUCCCAGGCUGGAAAGGCGGGUUCGAUUCCCGUUGCCUGCU
rnacentral:tRNA from 1 species